rnacentral:rRNA from 1 species
CACGCCGUAAACGAUGAGUGCUAAGUGUUGGAGGGUUUCCGCCCUUCAGUGCUGCAGUAAACGCAUUAAGCACUCCGCCUGGGGAGUACGGCCGCAAGGCUGAAACUCAAAGGAAUUGAC